GUAGCGAAAGUUACGCUAAUACCGCAUAUUCUGCGAGCAGGAAAGCAGGGGAUCGCAAGACCUUGCGCUGAUUGAGCGGCCGAUAUCAGAUUAGCUUGUUGGUGAGGUAAAAGCCCACCAAGGCGACGAUCUGUAGCGGGCCUGAGAGGAUGAUCCGCCACACUGGAACUGAGACACGGUCCAGACUCCUACGGGAGGCAGCAGUGGGGAAUUUUGGACAAUGGGGGCAACCCUGAUCCAGCCAUGCCGCGUGAGUGAAGAAGGCCUUCGGGUUGUAAAGCUCUCUCAGCCGGGAAGAAAACGCAUGGGUUAAUACCCUGUGUAGAUGACGGUACCGGAAUAAGAAGCACCGGCUAACUACGUGCCAUCAGCCGCGGUAAUACGUAGGGUGCGAGCGUUAAUCGGAAUUACUGGGCGUAAAGCGUGCGCAGGCGGUUUUGUAAGACAGGCGUGAAAUCCCCGGGCUUAACCUGGGAACUGCGUUUGUGACUGCAAGGCUAGAGUACGGCAGAGGGGGGUGGAAUUCCACGUGUAGCAGUGAAAUGCGUAGAGAUGUGGAGGAACACCAAUGGCGAAGGCAGCCCCCUGGGUCGAUACUGACGCUCAUGCACGAAAGCGUGGGUAGCAAACAGGAUUAGAUACCCUGGUAGUCCACGCCCUAAACGAUGUCAACUAGGUGUUGGGAGGGUAAAACCUUUUAGUACCGGAGCUAACGCGUGAAGUUGACCGCCUGGGGAGUACGGCCGCAAGGUUAAAACUCAAAGGAAUUGACGGGGACCCGCACAAGCGGUGGAUGAUGUGGAUUAAUUCGAUGCAACGCGAAAAACCUUACCUACCCUUGACAUGCCAAGAACUUUCCAGAGAUGGAUUGGUGCCCGAAAGGGAACUUGGACACAGGUGCUGCAUGGCUGUCGUCAGCUCGUGUCGUGAGAUGUUGGGUUAAGUCCCGCAACGAGCGCAACCCUUGUCGUUAAUUGCCAUCAUUUAGUUGGGCACUUUAACGAGACUGCCGGUGACAAACCGGAGGAAGGUGGGGAUGACGUCAAGUCCUCAUGGCCCUUAUGGGUAGGGCUUCACACGUCAUACAAUGGUCGGUACAAAGGGUCGCCAAGCCGCGAGGUGGAGCCAAUCCCAGAAAGCCGAUCGUAGUCCGGAUCGCAGUCUGCAACUCGACUGCGUGAAGUCGGAAUCGCUAGUAAUCGUGGAUCAGAAUGUCACGGUGAAUACGUUCCCGGGUCUUGUACACACCGCCCGUCACACCAUGGGAGCGGGUUCCGCCAGAAGUAGGUAGCCU
rnacentral:rRNA from 1 species